GUCGGAUUUAUUGAGCGCCGACUAGGUGCAGAGUGCUGGGGCCGGGGGUGGAGAGCAUAUGCAAGAGGAGAGGGUAUGGAGGAAGACUUUGUGAUCAGAUGGGCUUGGGUGACAUUGGCACAGGGUUCAUAACUCGACAUGUUCUCGGGCUGGGACCAGAGGAGAAGCUCCAGUGCCACUUCACUCUGAUGAGACCGAGGUUCUUCUGCCCAUCCCCAGAGGAGGACUGAGUGAGUCCCGAGGUCCCCCUUCCUGCAAUAGCAUGUCCAGGCUGCUCAAAGCCCUCCAGCCAAAAUCCUCUGGAAACACACAGCUCAGGGCAGGAUAGCCGAGGGGAGAAUCUAGCUACUACUCAUUUAAAUAAAAACUGCUCAAUGCA